rnacentral:tRNA from 1 species
GUCCGUGUCGUACAGCAGCAAGUACUCCGGUCUCUCUAACCGGCUACGCGGGUGCAAGUCCCGCCACGGAUACCA